rnacentral:rRNA from 1 species
GAUCUUGUCUGAUCUCAGAAGCUAAGCAGUGUUGGGCCUGAUUAGUACAUGGAUGGGAGACUGCCUGGGAAUACCUGGUGCU